rnacentral:rRNA from 1 species
UACGGAGGGUGCAAGCGCUGCUCGGAAUUAUUGGGCGUAAAGCGCUCGCAGGUGGUCCGAUGCGUCGUGCGUGAAAGACCCCGGCUCAACUGGGGGGUGUCGUGCGAUACGGUCGGACUGGAGGCCAGUAGGGGGAUGCGGAAUUCCGGGUGUAGUGGUGGAAUGCGUAGAGAUCCGGAGGAACACCAGCGGCGAAGGCGGCAUCCUGGACUGGUCCUGACACUCAGGAGCGAAAGCGUGGGGAGCGAUCCGG